CGGCCGGGAGCUUACCUGCAGUCGAACGGCAGCACGGACUUCGGUCUGGUGGCGAGUGGCGAACGGGUGAGUAAUGUAUCGGAACGUGCCCAGUAGCGGGGGAUAACUACGCGAAAGCGUAGCUAAUACCGCAUACGCCCUACGGGGGAAAGCAGGGGAUCGCAAGACCUUGCACUAUUGGAGCGGCCGAUAUCGGAUUAGCUAGUUGGUGGGGUAACGGCUCACCAAGGCGACGAUCCGUAGCUGGUUUGAGAGGACGACCAGCCACACUGGGACUGAGACACGGCCCAGACUCCUACGGGAGGCAGCAGUGGGGAAUUUUGGACAAUGGGGGAAACCCUGAUCCAGCCAUGCCGCGUGAAGGAAGAAUGUCCUAUGGAUUGUAAACUUCUUUUGUAUGGGAGCAAUAAGGUCUUCGUGAAGACUGAUGAGAGUACCAUACGAAUAAGCAUCGGCUAACUCCGUGCCAGCAGCCGCGGUAAUACGGAGGAUGCGAGCGUUAUCCGGAUUUAUUGGGUUUAAAGGGUGCGUAGGCUGUUAUAUAAGUCAGUGGUGAAAUAUUCGGGCUCAACCGGGAUACUGCCAUUGAUACUGUAUAGCUGGAAUAUGGUUGCUGUGGGUGGAAUGUGUGGUGUAGCGGUGAAAUGCAUAGAUAUCACACAGAAUAUCGAUUGCGAAGGCAACUCACAAAGCCAUUAUUGACGCUGAUGCACGAAAGUGUGGGGAUCAAACAGGAUUAGAUACCCUGGUAGUCCACACUGUAACGAUGAUAACUAGCUGUCGGCGAUAGAUAGUCGUGGCUAAGCGAAAGCGAUAGUUA
rnacentral:rRNA from 1 species